GUGCCCGAAACUUUGGCUCAACCUGAGUUUAUACAAAGGUGAGCAAAGUUUCAGGUGUGU
rnacentral:pre_miRNA from 1 species